AACUCUCACCGCUCCAACACACUCCCCUCACCGAUCUGAGACAACUCUCACCGAUCUCACACUCCCCUCACCGAUCUCAGCCCACUCUCACCGAUCUCAAGCUACAUCAGUUCCACCCUAUGUGAAUCCCCUUCCUCCCUCCGCUCUUCCUCCUCUUCCUUUCCUUCUCAUCGAUCGCUGGCACACACCCAUUCUCGCAAGGCCGACUAGCAGGAAAAAGCACUGAGAUCAAAUGUGAAUGUCUUGAUAUUUUAUGUGAUGUGACCAUGGGCUGCUUUUAAGUGCUCUUUUGUCCCAGUUGAAUUCAAAUCAAGCCAGUGUCAGAAAAAAGACUGUGUCUUGUAUUGGUGAUGUUGUUCGCAAAGAUUUGAAAUUAUAGUCAGAGGCACAAAGUUCACAAAAAAUUCCGGUCACUGUGCAAGAAAAUCCAGACGCCUCUCAAAAGCCAUUCACCUUCAUUUUCUUUCAUUCUAUCUUGGUACCCGCCCAAUUCCCACGCAUUUUCUUCGUUGUGCUUACUAUCUUUCUUAAUUUGAUGCGUCCUUGCAUCUUUGUAACUCUUUUUGUUGUAAUUGUUCUUUUCUUUUAAUUAUAUAGAUUAAGAUUUGUAUCAUAGGGCUGUAUCUGAGACAUACGUAGCCGUAUGAUACAAAUUUUGAAAAGAUACUUGUAAAACAAACACAGUUGGAACAUACCCAACGUGUAGUAUUGUAUUGGAAAGGGAAGUGGUUUUAUAUUUUAAUGGGUGAAUAUCUCACUCUUCAUAUUAAUUGCAUGAAGAGAUGCC